rnacentral:lncRNA from 1 species
CUUCAGAGAGCCGACAAACGAUUGUUGUUGUUUCUUGAAGUACAUCGAGAUACACUAGUAAGUAAACGUAAAAGUUUAAUCAUACAGCUUUUGAUGCAUAUAUUCGAAAUUGUACUUGACAUGCAUGUGACAUUUUGUUUUUUGUAUUGCAUUUAAAGAUCUAGUAAUUCAAUCUAUUCUAACGUUUUUAAACAAGGCAAUAAAAAUGACCGGAUAUGGGGAAAUGGCACGAAUACAGAACCAGAUCUCCGAAAUAAUGGUGGGUUUUUUGUUUUUACUAUAGAGGAACUCAUUAUGAAAUUGCCGUCGGUUUUGCGAUACGAGAAGUUAUGUAUGCAAUUUAAUUCGUGUAUAUAUAAUAGCACAUUAUUGUUUUUACAGGCUAAAUAUGAAAUUGUUCGUAGUUGCUCUAUUGGUUCUUAUGGUUUAUGUGAGUUCUCUUCCACAAAAGAAAUUUCUUCUUGAUGGUAAGCUUACGUCUAUAAUCAAGUUAAAUUGGAAACUUACUUUUUUCUGAAUCAAAAAUGUUUGUUAAGAAAAUAACUAUUAUCAAGCCCCCUUCAAAGAUAAUUGGUCAUUCAUUAGAACCAAACAAAUCCUAGGGCACAUCACAAUGUCGAAGUAUAUAAAUUUUAAUUACUACAUAAAACAAAAGACAGGUAAACACAAAUGACCAAUUUGAAAAUACUCCUGAUGAGGACAGGGCCAUUCAACAUGUGGUUGACAUAAACUAGAUUCAUAAAAUCAUAACCCUUCCAUAUAUAAGACAUAUAGACACAAACAAAAAUCAUUCAUAUUUUUCUCCAAUCCACUAGGCAAAACUCAACAAGUCCAGCAUGCAUUUUAGAAUAAUGUUAACCAUUGAUGCACAUUCUUCUGUCAUCAAAAAGAUGGGUCUAAUGAUUUUGUUAAACAAUUGUUGUAUUGGUUUUUUUCUUAUAUAUUUAUUUAUGCGUUUACUUACGGAAGGACAAAUUUAAAGGUUGUGUUCGAUUUCUGUGCAAAAAAGUGAAAUCACAAAAAUACUGAACUCCGAGGAAAAUUCACAACGAAAAGUCAAAUGGCAAAUCAAAAGCUCAAACACAUCAAUCGAAUGUUACAAUUGAAUGAAAGCAUUGAAUGAAUAAGAACAAAGGAGUAGGUCCGGUAAGGAUCAAUUUUGGCCUCAAAUUUCAAGUUCAUCUGACGAAUGAAUUUGACCGCUUUUUAAACACUUAAGUGUCUAUUUCAUUUGAAUCAAUUAGUUUAUGUGAAAUAUUUCAACUGAUUUAGUCAUUGAAAACGAUCCGAUUCAAGCUCAAAUAUGAAAAAUCUACCAAAUAUGUCGAAAAAUGUCACUUUUUAGAUAGUUUUUGUCAAAAAUGAAUGUGGCCGCAAUCCUGUUCAUCCAAAAUCUUUAUAUAUGUUAUGUAUUAUCAAAAUACAACUACAUUUCAAUAUUAAGGAUGAACACGAAUGGCCACUUUCGUUUACGAAAACCGUCUAAAUUUAGCUAAAAUGGUAGAAUAGUGAAAGAUUUCAGUAAUUUAGCGGACUUAAUUGCUAGUACUCGAUAUAUGUGCAUUGUAUUGCCAAAAAACAACAAUAUUUAUGUAACAAAGCAUUCUACUGUCAAUAUUAUUUAAAAGUUUACAUUUUAACAAUUUUGUAAAACUGAUACAUUUUGGAGCCAAAAAGGGGUCUUACCGGACCUACUCCUUUCACAUUUUAGUAAAUAUUAAAUACUCAAAUAUAAAGAUAAAGAACAAUACAAUGAUGCAUGAUAUUGUCAGCCCUUAAUUAUUCCUUAUUAUUUGCAGACAUAUAUCUACUUCCUGGUGACUGCGAGCAUAGUGACGCAUGUAGCCAUUGUGGAAAUAGCCACAUUCAUCGCAUUCAACAUGGAGGACUUGUUAUAGAAAUCUGUUGUCGCACAUGUGGAAAGCCCAAUGCCACAGUGCAUAUUGGCUUUCCACAUUCUGCCCUUGAAUGUCAAUGCCUGUAGAGCAUCAUACACGAUAUAUCUCUUUUUUUCUCAAUAAAACUAAUAAUGAAAAUAUAGUACAUGUAGCACCAUGUAUAACGUCUGCCUAACUAGGUAUAUACAAAAACAUAGGUCUUUUUGGAAUCAUGUCUUUCAUCGGAAAAGGAUUGUCAAUUUCGCACGCCUUUAUGGCGUCAUUUACCAGAUAGGAAAGAUGACGAAAGAUACCUAAGGGACAGUCAAACUCAUAAAUCGACAAUAAACUGACAACGCCAUGGCUAAAAAUGAAAAAGACAAACAGACAAACAUAAGUUCACAUGUCACAACAUAUAAAACUUAAAGAAUAAGAAAAACGAACCCCACCAAAAACUGGGGGUGAUCUCAGGUGCUCCGCAAGCGUAAGCAGAUCCUGCUUCACAUGUGUCACCCGUCAUGUUGCUCAUGUUAUAACAAAUCCGGUAAAAAGCCUAAUUUGGUAGGUCACAUUCUUGAAAGAAAGGGGAUUGUAGCUACGACAUAAGGAACACAUCCGAUAUCAUCUGUGAAACGGUUCUUCCUUAACGGUCAACAAACUCGUCAUGGCGACCGUAAAAUUUACGAAGGGAUGAUUUCAACUUCCCCAUUUGGAACUCUUGGUUUAAUAGCUUCCCUGUAAGCAGCAACUCUCUAUCCAAAAAAAAUCAUGAUGGAAUACAAGCACGGGAAUAUAGUAUCAAUUGGGAGAUAUAUACCCGUAUGCAGGGCUGCUGGAAUGUUGCUACUUCGAAAUGAAAAAUUCAUAAUUUGAAAUCUGAAAUCAUCUCUUUUGACGGAAAGUUUUUGUCAAUUUCUAGAUGUAAGUCGAAAUAUGAAGCCGACUUAACUGUAUCUGUUGUGUCCUUUUCUCUAGCUCGAUGGGAUAGAUGCGUUCAGCAUAGUCACCAAAUUUUGAAUUAUUUAGUGCGAGAACAUCAGUGAUAUAGCGGAAAGUAAAAUUAAAGGAUAUGGCUAACUUCUUAUUUUUCCUCCUAAGAAGUUCGCGGAAAGUAAAAUUAAAGGAUAUGGCUAACUUCGUAUUUUUCCUCCUAAGAAGUUUCUGUAUGAAGUCAGCCUCAUAAGAAAAAGAAACAAGUCGGCAAAAAGAGUGUUGCAAGAUGAAAGAGAGUCGGAUUGUAUGUACUAUUUUUUAGUAUCCUCAUCUGAUUCACGUCACCUCUAGAAUAGGCAGUUUCACAAUAACUUUGAAGCCCGGCUUUGAUUGCUGAUAAAAUAUAUGUUUAUAAUUUAGAAAGAGGUUUCGUGGAACACUUAGAAGACCCAGCAAUAUACCGUUGUUUGUAAGGACACUUGUGUAGUUUAGGGAUUAGUAUCCAAUUCAGUAAUGAAGAUCCAGUUCUUCAUCUUUGGUUGAUAUUAGGAACAUAGAACAGACCUAUGAUUAUCCAGGAUUUCCUUUUUGGUAAGUGUCAUAAGGGUAUAUGUUGUGUUUCCAAGUGAUUUGUCAUUACACAAUUCGUUUAUCAAGCAGUUUUACACACAAAAAUGAUGUUGGGUGUGGCUUUAUAUGCGGGGACAACAACAUAUUUGUCAUGGAGGUAGGAUAAACGUUUUACAACAUUUGUGUCUCUAAGGAUUUACGUAGCAUGGGCAUUGAUAGACCUAUUCAGUUUCUUAACUCUGAUUUGUACUAACGACCUCACAGCGUUAAUCCAUUCGGAAAGAGUGUCUACGUCUUCCUCCUCGCGCUUAAUCACAUUGCCUGGCAAAAUCCUUGACUGAUUACAUCAAAAUUUUGAAGUUGAACUUCCAAUUGAUGGAUUUAGGCUCAUGAUAUUUUUGACCUUUCAAUAACACUGGGAAGUGUAAUUGACAAUGUUGAGGUCACCAGUAAUACCGUGGCCAACAGGAUUAUAUGUCAAUUUGGAACUAGCACAAGUGCAAUCAGGAGGUUUAGACUUGAAGUCGUCAAUAUUGAGAUCCUACAAAACGUGUUUGUAAUUGAAAAUUUUAGUUGCAAUAGGUUUGGUAUAGGUAUCAGAAAUGAUUGGUACAGACUGAUCUUUGAAAUAAUGAGGUAUUUUCGACUGAACUAAUUUAUGAUGUAGAAUAUUGCCUAAGCUGACGCCAUUUAGACCUUUGUUGGCAAAGGGAAGAUUAAAAAAGAUAUUUUCUUUUCAUCUUUUCCAACGCGAACUGGUUUGACAAGUCUGUGACUUGCAAUAUCUGAAAUGAUAGCUGUAAGUUUUAUUGGUUUGAUUGAGGGUUUGUAACAGUGGUUUCCAAGAAGGAGCGCCUGUAUACCUGCUCUAUAUAACGUUUCCAACACUUUAAUAAUCGACAUUCUGUAGGAAAGUAUAGAAAUAAUUAAUGUGCCGUAUAUACAAAAUAAUGAUUGCCGUAUGACUGAGGGGGUGACCAUCCUUUGAGAUUUUAAUUUUACAAAUAUUUUGUGCAGUAUAAAUAAAACUUUUUCAUCCGUUUGCCGGAACUGGCCUAUUAUAUACAUCAGUAUGGCCUGUCAAGAUAUAAACCGAUAGAAAAAAAAGGAAACCAGACAGGCAAACCCUUGAACUGUUCUCUUAAGUCGUGGCAAUCCAGAGGUGAGUGCUUGUCAUUAGGAGGCAAGGCCUUGCAGAUCAACCAGUGAGCUCUGGUUUUCUUGCAUGGUGUAAUUUUGUUACAUCUUAGUUGCAUUCACUUAUAUGCGUUCUAUAUCACACACAAAAAAUUGUGGACAAGAAACAAAAAAGAUAAGAGACAAUCUUUUUCGUUCUAUUGAAAUACAUCAAUCUCCGAACCAAAAUGUCCUGUGUUUCCUUCUACUUCUACAAUUAUAUUUGACUUUGUAUACGAGGCUAGUUCUGCUCAUGAAUACGUCUGUUGAAAACAUAUAACUUACAUCUUGAAGGUUCAUCAAUAUACUUUGACAAAAUAGCUGUGUGUUCACCAAGAUUAUUUCACUGAGUACAUACAAAGCUUCGUAAUUUGAAAAGUUUAAAGCUGGUAGCACCUAAAUAUAUACAAGUUGUAUUCAUCUUGCGUUUUAAAAAGAUAAAACUCUUGUGGAUUUAGGUAAAUAUUUAGGAAGGUCCCCCUCAUAAUAAUUUGAUUGUUACAUAUUGAUUUAAAUGGAUAAUAGAAGGAUAAUAGAAAUCAACACAACGAUGGUGAUUUAAGUAGAUUAAAUCAAUGGACUGUAUGAAAUACAUCUCAGUUGUCUGUUUAUUUUACCCUCUUCUGUGGCAAGUAAAGAAAAUGUUCAUCAAAAUUCAUAAAAGUUUUUAUUUUUUUUUUAUCUAGGAGCUGCCAGGCUUUAAAACUUUUCAAAUUACACUGUGUUGUCUGUACUCAGACUAAAUGUCAUGGUGUAAACACAGCCUUUUUUUGUCAAAAUGUAUUUUAAUACGCAAGGAAAUAUUUUUUUAUAUCAGAAAGGUUUACCUUAGAUACCAGAAAAUCCACAAAAAAAUGAAAACCAAAAUCAGGACAAGUUACUUACUGCAAGUCUUUUAUCUGUGACGUGUUAUCUAAAUCUUGGUGUUUCUGUACUGUUGUGUUUUUCCUUGAGUUAAUUUAAAGCGCCUUUAUGUCGUUAAACUAACAGCGUAUACGGAAUGGUGUUUAAAGCAUUUUUUCAACUUCCUUUUAUUUAUACUUCAAUAUUUAUAUGUAUUGAUGUGUUCUUGUUCCUUUUCAUAAAAUCUUACAAUAACAGUAGUUUAUACGUUUUGUUCAUCUAUUCUUCUUUACUGCAUAGUAAUAUAGGGAACACAACGUAUACACAACUGGGACGGCAAAAUCGUAUGAAUAGUAACAUGAACAUUAAUUAACAGAAAACAUACAAAAUAUAACAUAUUAAAGACAUUUCAAAUUAUUAAAAACAAAAAUUCUAAAAUAGGGAAAAGAUAGGGUGCAAUGCCCCAAACGGUCGUGAGUUCAAAUGUUUACUUGUUGUAAUCGGUUAAUGUGGUUUCGUAAGGAAAAAUUUCUAAUGAUCAUAUUAAAAUGCUUUUACUAUAAUUCAAACUCCAAUUCAAAGAGUAAAAUGCAUUGUAUUCCAUUAAUAAUAUAACAAUGAUUACCAUUUGAUUAAAUAUGUCACAAUUUAAAUUUAGAAACUGUUAAUGUAUUAUACCUUGAAGGGUAGAACCUAAUUUUAAACAUGUAUGAAUACAGAUUACUUUCCUUUUAUUAAUCAAAAGCUAUAAAACCAAACACUUACUUUAAACAAGCAACAACCGCCUGUCAGAUAAGUGAUAAGGAUUCUAUAAUGCAAAGUAUGUCAUUAACACACGAUCUUUUUGCACAACCUUCAAAUUUUAUCAAAACAAUUUUGAACCGGACAUAGCUUUUGACCGUAUAGGCGAGGGACAUUGCUUCUUAUCUUCAUAUAUAUUUCUAAAUAAUGUAAACAUGAGUUCAUUAUUUCCUUGUUCAGUGCAAAAGCGUCCAAUCAGAAUGGGAUUAUGAACUCAUCCUUAGACUGGACAGUACCAUUGACAAUCCUCGUAGAGCUUUUAAAAAUUUUUUAUUACGCUGUUUAGCUAAUGUUUCAUUAUUUUAUGAAAGAAGUCACAACGAUUGAAAAACAUAUUUACGAACAUUCAGUGCAAUUUUUCUGAACAAUUUGAUUUUUCUUUCUUUUGAAACUUGCGAUCAGUUUUCAAAUGAUUGAUAAAGAAGGUUCCACUCUCCGCAAUGUCAUACUAACAACCACGAAACCGCAAUUACGUAAAAGUUCACCGGUGUUUCCUGAAUUUUGGACUCUUUGCCAAUCAUGCAUUUAUACAACAUAUCAGCCUUUAUUUAGGAAACAAAACCAGCACAUCUUAUCAAUUUAUUUUCAAUGAAACCUGUAAGGAAAUCACUUUACAUGUAAUUGUUAUGAAAAAUAGGUUGAUAUAAAACUUUAUUAAUCAUGGUCUAUGCAAUGAGGAGGGCGGAAAGACUCUUUUCAGGAUUAGUUCUUUUUGGGGGGAAAUUCGGGAUUGGGCCUAUAUUUUCAAUGAAAUUUAGAAUUUAUAUAAUUAACGGGACUCGGGUAGUCAUAUUUUCAUUUCUGGGAUCCGGGAAAGAAUUUUGGGGGGAUUCGAGAUUACGCUUCCUCUGUAAGAACCUCAUGGAGUAGCUCAACUGAGUUGGCACCAUGCAUUUUUUUUUUAAAGUAUGCAGUGUUCUUUAAAAUGAACACAUUUAACAUUUGAAAUUACUUGAUUAUAUCCAAAUACCAACUGAUACUAAUACACAAUAGAAAUGGUCAAUAUUAUCAUUCAAAUAGUUAGCAAAGGUACCAGGAUUAUAAUUUUGUACGCCAGACGCGCGUUUCGUCUACAUAAGACUCAUCAGUGACGCUCAUAUCAAAAUAUGUAUAAAGCCAAACAAGUACAAAGUUGAAGAGCAUUGAGGAUCAAAAAUUCCGAAAAGUUGUGCCAAAUACGGCUAAGGUAAUCUAUGCCUGGAAUAAGAAAAUCCUUAGUUUUUUUCAAAAAUUUAAAGUUUGGGAAACAGAAAGAUAGUUGUCAAAAAAAUACGCUUAUAAACAGUUGAAACAACAUUUGACAGAGUUCCUAUCUAUUGAAUGUGCCUUGAUGUGUAUCUGCAAUUCAAAAUGUGUACAGGUACUAAGUAAAUUAAAAUCAAAAGGGAAAUUAGCAUGCGUAUAAUUGUUCGCAUACUAGAGUCAAGAAAGGCACCAAACCAGGUUUAAUUUUGAACCAGUCGGGCUCCCCUUGUUUUGAAAACAAUUCAUUCUAUUUUGUUUCAAAUGACAACUUCACUAAUUAAGUCACACGAUAUAUAUUAUGUCAAAAUAAUUCAGGUAAUGCACGCAUAUAACAGGUCCUGGUUUUGACAUUUUGAAAAAGAUUUUAAGACAGUUUGUUUGUAACUGUUCACAUAAUGUAUGAGUCCAAAUUAAAUAAUCUGUUUGUUCCCCUGGCACACAUUGAAAACAAAUAUGAGCUGUGUGCAUGUUCAAUCCCACCAAAUGUUGAAUCAAACCUACAGAAGAUGGAGCAUUAGUGAUCCUGCCUAACCUAGAACUGGUUAAAAGCAAAUGAAACGAUAAAACCUGAACAUAGCUCCAGUUAAGCGUUUUGUGUACAAAAUAUGAUAAUAAAAAGAUGUGGUAUGAUUGCCAAUGUAACUAUCAACUAUCAAAAAGAAACCAAAUUACACAAGAAAUGAAUACUAAAGGUCAACGUACUUCAACUUCACUUCUAUGGUCGGGUUGUUGUCUCUUUGACACAUUCCCCAUUUCCAUUCUCAAUUUUAUUCAACAUAGACCAAAAGCCCGUACGGUAUAGUCAACUAUAAAAGUCAACGAAAUGACAAACGUUAAACAAUUCUAACGAGAAAACAAAGUCUAAUUUUUGUACAUAAUAAUUUACGAAAAACAAAUAUGUUACAUAGCAUUAUAAACAAAUAACUGAAGUGUAGGCUUCUGACAACCCUCCCCUUAUUUCCAUUCAUUUUGUUUGGUGUUUUGAAAUAUUAAACCAAAUCUAGCUCUAGGUAACAUAUUGUUACUAACGCUCUCUUAAUAACGAAACAUUCGCCUCUAGAUAAUAUAUUGUUACUAACGCUCUCUUAAUAACGAAACAUCUUAACAGGUUUAUACUAAACUUUUCAAAAAUUUUCGUGGAUUGACAUUCGAACUGACUAGUGUACGGAUAUUUUCAAUACCCCGUUCUGAUUUGACGCUUUACACUAAACGUGAAAAUGAUAACCAUAAAUGUACUGCAACGAACAUGAUGACCUCUUGUUUACGUUGUUCAGAAAUACAUUUAGAUAAGAUACAAUGUCCCUCACUCCUACGGUCAAAAUAUAUGUCCGGAUCAAAAUUGUUUUGGAAUAAUUUGAAGGUUGUGAGAAAAGAUUGUGUGUUUAUGACAUAAUUUGCCAUUAUAAAAGCCCAAUCGCUACAGAGAGCCGACAAACGAUUGCUGCUGUUUCUUGAAGUACAUCGUGAUACACUAGUAAGUAAACGUAAGUUUUUGGUCUUACAGCUUUUGAUUCAUGAACAUCCAGCAAAAGUGUUUAGUAAGAAAACUGAUGAGAGAGAUACCAAAGAGACAUGAAAACUCAUAAGUCGAAAACAAAAAACAAACUGACAACGUCAUUGCAACAAAAAUGUUUGCUCACGUUUGUCAGUCGAAACUGUACUUGACAUGAAUGUAACAUUUUUUUUUUUAUUGCAUUUCGAGAUCUGGUGCUGUAUUUGUAUAUAAUGGAGUGUGACACCGCUUUGUCUGUUAUUCAAUAUAUUCUAACGUUUUUAAACAAUUCAGUGAAAAAGAACGGAUAGGGGGAAGUGGCACGAAUACAUAACCAAAUCUCUGAAAUAAUGGUGUUUUAUUUACUAUAGAGGCACUUAUUAUGAAAUUGCCGUCGGAUUUGCGAUACGAGCAUGUAUGUAUGCAACUUAAUUCGUGUAUAUACAAUAGCACAUUAUUGUUUUUACAGACUAAACAUGAAAUUGUUCGUAGUAGCUCUUUUGGUUCUUAUGGCAUAUGUGAGUUCUCUUCCACAAAAGAAAUUUCUUCUGGAUGGUAAGCUCAUAUCUAUAAUCAAUUUUAAUUGGAAACUUACUUUUUUUCUGAAUCAAAAUUGUUUGUUAAGACAAUAACUAUUAUCAAGCCCCCUUCAAAUAUAAUUGGUCGUUCAUUAGAACCAAACAAAUCCUAGGGCACAGCACAAGUCAAAGUAUAUAAAUUUUAACUACAACAUAAAACAAAAGACAGGUAAACACAAAUAACCAAUUUGAAAAUACUCCUGAUGAGGACAGGGCCAUUCAACAUGUGGUUGACAUAAACUAGAUUCAUAAAAUCAUAACCCUUCCAUAUAUAAGACAUAUAGACACAAACAAAAAAUCAUUCAUAUUUUUCUCCAAUCCACUAGGGAAAACUCAACAAGUCCAGCAUGCAUUUUAGAAUAAUGUUAACCAUUGAUGCACAUUCUUCUGUCAUCAAAAAGAUGGGUCUAAUGAUUUUGUUAAACAAUUGUUGUAUUGGUCUUUAUCUUAUAUAUUUAUUUAUGCGUUUACUUACGGAAGGACAAAUUUAAAGGUUGUGUUUGAUUUCUGUUCUGUGCAAAAAAGUGAAAUCACAAAAAUACUGAAUUCCGAGGAAAAUUCACAACGAAAAGUCAAAUGGCAAAUCAAAAGCUCAAACACAUCAAUCGAAUGUGACAAUUGACUGAAAGCAUUGAAUGAAUAAGAAUAAAUUUAACAUUUUAGUAAAUAUUAAAUACUCAAAUAUAAAGAUAAAGAACAAUACAAUGAUGCAUGAUAUUGUCAGCCCUUAAUUAUUCCUUAUUAUUUGCAGACAUAUAUCUACUUCCUGGUGACUGCGAGCAUAGUGACGCAUGUAGCCAUUGUGGAAAUAGCCACAUUCAUCGCAUUCAACAUGGAGGACUUGUUAUAGAAAUCUGUUGUCGCACAUGUGGAAAGCCCAAUGCCACAGUGCAUAUUGGCUUUCCACAUUCUGCCCUUGAAUGUCAAUGCCUGUAGAGCAUCAUACACGAUAUAUCUCUUUUUUUCUCAAUAAAACUAAUAAUGAAAAUAUAGUACAUGUAGCACCAUGUAUAACGUCUGCCUAACUAGGUAUAUACAAAAACAUAGGUCUUUUUGGAAUCAUGUCUUUCAUCGG